GAUGAACGCUGGCGGCGUGCCUAACACAUGCAAGUCGAGCGAGAAAUGUUUUGAUGACGCUUCGGUUGAUUCAAGACAUGGAAAGCGGCGGACGGGUGAGUAACGCGUAGGCAACCUGCCCUUCACAGAGGGAUAGCCUCGGGAAACCGGGAUUAAAACCUCAUAAUGCCGAGAUGAGACAUCUCAAUUCGGCCAAAGAUUUAUCGGUGAAGGAUGGGCCUGCGUCUGAUUAGUUAGUUGGUGGGGUAACGGCCUACCAAGGCGACGAUCAGUAGCCGACCUGAGAGGGUGAUCGGCCACAUUGGAACUGAGACACGGUCCAA
rnacentral:rRNA from 1 species